UGGCUGACCUGCCGCACGGCGGGAUCGAUCGCCGGUUGAACGCCGGCGGAUCGCGCCUGCUCGUAGGCGACCGCGGGUUCGACGCCGCCGGUGGUUGGC
rnacentral:tRNA from 1 species